rnacentral:rRNA from 1 species
AUAAAUUCGAGUUUACAAAAUAAAUUAAUAAUUUAUUUUUUGUACCUUGGGUAUCAGGGUUGAUUUAAAUUAUUAAUUUAUUUUGUAAUCUCGAAUUUAUAAGAGCUACAAUAAAAUUUAUUUUACUGUAAAAUAAUUAUUUAAAAUUUUGUUGUUGAAGUUAAAUGCUAGUCGUUUUUAAAUAUAUCUAGUUUUUCAAGAAAUGAAUUUAAUUCAGAUUUAUUAAAUUAAUGAAUCUUUUUUUUGAUUUUUUAAUUUUUAAAUUUAAUUUACCUGGGGAUUAGCUUUGGUAAAAAUUUUUAUUAUUUUUAAUUUUGUUAAAUUUAUAGGAUUAAAAUUUUCUGUUUUUGUGUUUGUUACAAAUAGUUUAUUUUUUAUUUUGUUUUGUAUAGUGUAUAAGUUUUAUAUUGAAAUAAAAAUUUUAUUUUUUUAUAUUUUGGAAUAGUGAUUGAAUUAGUAGAUUAAGUUUUAAAUUUAUUUUAAUUAAAAAGGUUAUAAUAAGGAACUCGGCAAUUUAAUUUUCCACCUGUUUACUAAAAACAUGGCCUUUAGAUUUUAAUUUAAGGUCUGGCCUGCCCAAUGAUUAAUUUGAAUGGCCGCGGUAUUUUGACCGUGCUAAGGUAGCAUAAUCAUUAGUUUUUUAAUUGGAGACUGGAAUGAAAGGUUUGAUGAGAAAAUUUCUGUCUCUUUAUAAUUUAUUUGAAUUUUAUUUUUUUGUAAGAAAGCUAAAAUGUAUUUGAAAGACGAUAAGACCCUAUAGAGUUUUAUUAAUACUAAUUUUAUUUGUUUUGGUAAAAAUUUUAUUUAAAUUUAAUUUUAAUUUAAUUGGGGUGAUUGAAAAAUUUUAAAAACUUUUUUUAAAAAUUGACAUUUGUAAAUGAAUAUUUGAUCCAUUUUUAGUGAUUACAAGAUUAAAUUACCUUAGGGAUAACAGCGUAAUUUUUUUUGAGAGUUCUUAUCGAAAGAAGAGAUUGCGACCUCGAUGUUGGAUUAAAAUUAAAUUUUGGCGCAGAAGUCAAUAUAUUAAGUCUGUUCGACUUUUUAAAUUUUACAUGAUCUGAGUUUAGACCGGCGUGAGCCAGGUUGGUUUCUAUCUUCAAUAAUUUAAAUUACUUUAGUACGAAAGGAUUUGGUUUAAUUGAUUAAUAAUUUGGAUUUGAAUUUUAUU